rnacentral:ncRNA from 1 species
CACCUUGCUGGUCGGGCCAUGGUUUAACGACAGCGGCAAGGGAAGAGGCUCCUACUGUGGGAUAGGUCUGAGACAGGAGCAAGGGCGGCGAAGUUAGCACCCCGUGACCGAAAAGGCUGACGAGU